AACUGGCCUCUAAUGUGAGAGGGUACCCCCUGGA
rnacentral:rRNA from 1 species